ACCUAGGAAACCAAACAACCACGUUACAAAAAGAAAAGAACUAAUGGUUUGCAAUGAUCACCUCCUUUAUAUAUGAAGGCUGAAAGCUGAAGAGGUGUGGAAAGCUAGCCAGGGCAUCAUACUAAGGUCACAUGAUCAUAAUGAAGGACCAUUAGCAGCAGCCAAAAACGUCAUCAUCAAGCUCAUUACACCAUUAGAUCGGUUGAGCAUUGUGUAUGAAUCACGGAUGGUCCAAUUGAAUCAAUCACAACAGACGUGGUUGCCCCAUAUAUGUGCCAACAUUAUCUGGAUAUUGAACUACAACUUAAUACAUGUAUAUGUGUACGCAUAAUUAUAUGUAUAUAACCAAGGAUAGAUAUUGCUAUGCA